UAGGGAAUAUUGCACAAUGGGCGAAAGCCUGAUGCAGCGACGCCGCGUGAGCGAAGAAGUUCUUCGGAACGUAAAGCUCUGUCCUUGGGGACGAAAAAAAUGACGGUACCCAAGGAGGAAGCCCCGGCUAACUACGUGCCAGCAGCCGCGGUAAUACGUAGGGGGCGAGCGUUGUCCGGAUUUACUGGGCGUAAAGAGUACGUAGGCUGUCGGGUAAGUCGGGUGUGAAAGGCAGGGGCUCAACCUCUGGACUGCACUUGAUACUGCUUGACUUGAGUAAUGGAGGGGUAACUGGAAUUCUCGGUGUAGCAGUGAAAUGCGUAGAUAUCGAGAGGAGCACUCGUGGCGAAGGCGAGUUACUGGACAUUUACUGACGCUGAGGUACGAAGGCUAGGGGAGCGAAAG
rnacentral:rRNA from 1 species